CCAUGCCCGUAUAACGUUAAUGAUUACUAGAUGAUGUUUCCAAAUGAGUCGUGAUGCUUGAUAGUGCAGCACUAAGUGGGUGGUAAACUCCAUCUAAAACUAAAUAUAACCAUGAGACCGAUAGUAAACAAGUACCGUGAGGGAAAGUUGAAAAGAACUCUGAAUAGAGAGUUAAACAGUACGUGAAACUGCUUAGAGGUUAAGCACGAUGAACCUGAAUAUCCGUUAUGGAAAAUUCAUCAUUAAAAUUGUAAUAUUUAAAUAAUAUUAUUAAGAAUAAUGUGCAUUUUUUCCAUAUAAGGACAUUUUAAUCUAUUAGCAUAUCCCAAAUUUAUCAUAAAAUAUAACUUAUAGUUUAUUCCAAUUAAAUAUUUUGCAUUUUAACACAGAAUAAAUGUUAUUAAUUUGAUAAAGUGCUGAUAGAUUUAUAUUAUAAGAGAGCGUUAAUUUUUCGGAAUUAUAUAAUGGCAUAAUUAUCAUUGAUUUUUGUGUUUAUUAUAUGCUCUUGUAUGAUUAACAAUGCGAAAGAUUCAGGAUACCUUCGGGACCCGUCUUGAAACACGGACCAAGGUGUCUAACAUAUGUGCAAGAUAUUGGGAUGUAAACCUAAUAGCGUAAUUAACUUGGGAUUUGGUAUUAGUUUUUUAGCUAUUUAUAGCUAAUUAACACAUUCUAUAUAGUUAUGUAUAAUGUAUAUUUAUAUUAUUUAUGCCUCUAACUGGAACGUACCUUGAGCAUAUAUGCUGUGACCCGAAAGAUGGUGAACUAUACUUGAUCAGGUAAAAGUCAGAAGAAACCCCGAUGAAAGACCGAAACAGUUCUGACGUGUAAAUCGAUUGUCAGAAUUGAGUAUAGGGGUGAAAGACCAAUCGAACCAUCUAGUAGCUGGUUCCUUCCAAAGUUUCCCUCAGGAUAGCUGGUGCAUUUUAAUAUUAUAUAAAAUAAUCUUAUCUGGUAAAGCGAAUGAUUAGAGGCCUUAGGGUCGAAACGAUCUUAACCUAUUCUCAAACGUUAAAUGGGUAAGAACCUUAACUUUCUUGAUAUGAAGUUCAAGGUUAUGAUAUAAUGUGCCCAGUGGGCCACUUUUGGUAAGCAGAACUGGCGCUGUGGGAUGAACCAAACGUAAUGUUACGGUGCCCAAAUUAACAACUCAUGCAGAUACCAUGAAAGGCGUUGGUUGCUUAAAACAGGAGGACGAUGAUCAUGGAAGUCUAAAUCCGCUAAGGAGUGUGUAACAAUUAACCUGCCGAAGCAACUAGCUUUUAAAUUGGUUGGCGCUUAAGUUGUAUACCUAUACAUUACCGCUAAAGUAGAUGAUUUAUAUUACUUGUGAUAUAAAUUUUGAAGGGUUUCAUGUGAACAGUGGUUGAUCAUGAGUUAGUCGGUCCUAAGUUCAAGGCGAAAGCCGAAAAUUUUCAAGUAAAACAAAAAUGCCUAACUAUAUAAACAAAGCGAAUAUAAUACACUUGAAUAAUUUUGAGCGAAAGGGAAUACGGUUCCAAUUCCGUAACCUGUUGAGUAUCCGUUUGUUAUUAAAUAUGGGCCUCGUGCUCAUCCUGGCAACAGGAACGACCAUAAAGAAGCCGUCGAGAGAUAUCGGAAGAGUUUUCUUUUCUGUUUUAUAGCCCUACUACCAUGGAAGUCUUUCGCAGAGAGAUAUGGUAGAUGGGCUAGAAGAGCAUGACAUAUACUGUUGUGUCGAUAUUUUCUCCUCGGACCUUGAAAAUUUAUGGUGGAGACACGCAAACUUCUCAACAGGCCGUACCAAUAUCCGCAGCUGGUCUCCAAAGUGAAGAGUCUCUAGUCGGUAGAAUAAUGUAGGUAAGGGAAGUCGGCAAAUUAUAUCCGUAACUUCGGGAUAAGGAUUGGCUCUGAAGAUUGAGAUAGUCGGGCUUGAUUGGGAAACAAUAACAUGGUUUAUGUGCUCGUUCUGGGUAAAUAGAGUUUCUAUCAUUUAUGUUAGUUACUUGUUCCCCGGAUAGUUUAGUUACGUAGCCAAUUGUGGAACCUUCUUGCUUAAAUUUUUAGGAAUACUAUUUGGGUUAAACCAAUUAGUUCUUAUCAAUUAUAACGAUUAUCAAUUAACAAUCAAUUCAGAACUGGCACGGACUUGGGGAAUCCGACUGUCUAAUUAAAACAAAGCAUUGUGAUGGCCCUAGCGGGUGUUGACACAAUGUGAUUUCUGGCCAGUGCUCUGAAUGUCAAAGUGAAGAAAUUCAAGUAAGCGCGGGUCAACGGCGGGAGUAACUAUGACUCUCUUAAAGGGGGAUCUAGGGUAUUUGCGAGCAGAGGGGGAGUAAUUUUCCGUAAUUCGUAAGUAAUAUCAUAUGGUGUGCGGAAGGGGAGUUUUACUCUGUAACUCACUCCUUU
rnacentral:ncRNA from 1 species